UACAAUGACUCUCGRCAACGGAUAUCUCGGCUCUUGCAUCGAUGAAGAACGUAGCGAAAUGCGAUACUUGGUGUGAAUUGCAGAAUCCCGUGAACCAUCGAGUCUUUGAACGCAAGUUGCGCCCGAAGCCAKUAGGCCGAGGGCACGUCUGCCUGGGUGUCACA
rnacentral:rRNA from 1 species